GUGAAGUGUGUAGGAUUGGUAUUAUGCCCCUGUGUUAUUUGUAUUCUUCACAGGUUACACGCAGUCAGUCUUCCAAGGUCUGUCGUGCGUCCUGCUAGUGUUCACAGCCUUCCAAGUUCAUGGGGGUCUUGUUUGUUUGUUCAUGUGAUGAUUCUUCUACACAUUUCAUAGUUUCUUCUACAUAGGCGCUACAUUUUGGGUAAAUCCUGUGCAGAUUAUGAAGUAACUUGGGUGCCUCGGUAACCAUCUUCUUCGUUCUUUUGCAGUUGUGGAGACCACGGAUGGGACUAUCGCAGUUGCUUCUGCGUUUCACGGGCAUCAGGAAGAUGUAUGAAACCUCUUAACUGUGGACGACAACUACUUGAGAAGGACCAUCAUCACCCAUCAAGUACGCCAUUGAGGGCGUCCGUGGAAGGCCCAGUCCUGACUCUCCAGUGAGUCC